rnacentral:rRNA from 1 species
GAUCAUGGCUCAGGAUGAACGCUGGCGGCGUGCUUAACACAUGCAAGUCGAACGGACUUGGAUGUCGGAAGUUUUCGGAUGGAAGAUAUCCAAGUUAGUGGCGGACGGGUGAGUAACGCGUGGGUAGCCUGCCCUGUACCGGGGGAUAACACUUAGAAAUAGGUGCUAAUACCGCAUAAGUGCACAGAGUCGCAUGACUUAGUGUAAAAAACUCCGGUGGUACAGGAUGGAUCCGCGUCUGAUUAG